GUUUGAUCCUGGCUCAGGACGAACGCUGGCGGCGUGCUUAACACAUGCAAGUCACGGGGGCCCGCAAGGGCAACCGGCGAACGGGUGCGUAACACGUGAGCAAGCUUCCGAUCUGUGGGGGAUAGCCGGCCCAACGGCCGGGUAAUACCACAUACGUUCACCGAGCGGCAUCGCUUGGUGAGGAAACCUCCGGGGCAGAUCGAGGCGCUCGCGGCCUAUCAGCUAGUUGGCGGGGUAACGGCCCACCAAGGCAAUGACGGGUAGCUGGUCUGAGAGGACGACCAGCCACACUGGGACUGAGACACGGCCCAGGCUCCUACGGGAGGCAGCAGUGGGGAAUAUUGGACAAUGGGGGCAACCCUGAUCCAGCAAUGCCGCGUGUGUGAAGAAGGCCUUCGGGUUGUAAAGCACUUUCGAUGGGGAAAAACAAGUUCGACCUAAUACGUCGGACCCUGAUGGUACCCAGAGAAGAAGCACCGGCUAACUACGUGCCAGCAGCCGCGGUAAUACGUAGGGUGCGAGCGUUAAUCGGAAUUACUGGGCGUAAAGCGUGCGUAGGUGGUUUGUUAAGUCAGGCGUGAAAUCCCUGGGCUCAACCUGGGAACUGCGCUUGAUACUGGCAGACUAGAGUGUGGUAGAGGGUAGUGGAAUUCCGCGUGUAGCAGUGAAAUGCGUAGAUAUGCGGAGGAACACCAGUGGCGAAGGCGGCUACCUGGACCAACACUGACACUGAGGCACGAAAGCGUGGGGAGCAAACAGGAUUAGAUACCCUGGUAGUCCACGCCCUAAACGAUGGGUACUAGACGUCGGGAAGUUUAUCUUCUUGGUGUCGCAGCUAACGCAAUAAGUACCCCGCCUGGGGAGUACGGUCGCAAGAUUA
rnacentral:rRNA from 1 species